rnacentral:rRNA from 1 species
AUUGAACGCUGGCGGCAUGCCUUACACAUGCAAGUCGAACGGCAGCGGACCUUCGGGUGCCGGCGAGUGGCGAACGGGUGAGUAAUGCAUCGGAACGUGCCAUUGAGUGGGGGAUAACGUAGCGAAAGUUACGCUAAUACCGCAUAUUCUGUGAGCAGGAAAGCAGGGGACCGCAAGGCCUUGCGCUCUUUGAGCGGCCGAUGUCAGAUUAGCUAGUUGGUGAGGUAAAGGCUUACCAAGGCGACGAUCUGUAGCGGGUCUGAGAGGAUGAUCCGCCACACUGGAACUGAGACACGGUCCAGACUCCUACGGGAGGCAGCAGUGGGGAAUUUUGGACAAUGGGCGCAAGCCUGAUCCAGCCAUGCCGCGUGAGUGAAGAAGGCCUUCGGUUGGUAAAGUACGUCUUUCGGUCCGGGAACGGAAAUACGCAUGGGUUAAGUACCCUCGUGUGGAUGACGGUACCGGAAGUAAG